UAGGGAAUCUUCCACAAUGGACGAAAGCCUGAUGGAGCAACGCCGCGUGUGUGAUGAAGGGUUUCGGCUCGUAAAACACUGUUGUAAGAGAAGAAUGACAUUGAGAGUAACUGUUCAAUGUGUGACGGUAUCUUACCAGAAAGGAACGGCUAAAUACGUGCCNG
rnacentral:rRNA from 1 species